AGCAGCAGGUUCCAAGCAAUAAGUAAAGCCUCGAUGAUCCUCAAGGUUCCAUCUCUGGGCAGGAAACAUCUUUAGAUCCUAACAAAUAUUGAAAUACACUAAAAUAAAGAAUAGCCAAGGUAUUUACAUUCACCUGCUAUUUUCUACGGGACUUAGAAAUGAAGGAGCUACAGUUUGUGUGUCAGUGAAGGAUGCAAAGUGUCUCUGGCCUCUCUCCUCAACAAGUCAUCACUCCGUUACUGGGCCUGAUGGUUAGUUCCGUACCAGAGCAGGAGGUCAGGUACCCCAGUAUCUUGUCUUGAAUAUUCAAGUCAGGGCAUGUGCAUCCAGACAUUUGUGACCUGCAGAGAUCUAAAUGGAACUGCUGGCUACCACUCAGCUCAAAAUAUGCUGCCUGGCCUGGCAUCCAGCAUUUUGUGUUUGUUGCUUGGAUAUCAGACAAGAUUUUCACUUGUUUGAGGCUAGUGGGAAACUACAUCUGCUGAGCCCCAUUUGGAGCAUAAAUUCCAACAUCAGCAGUCUUUUCUCUCUCCGAUAUGAAGAGCAACUGACAAGUGAAAGAGACAACAGCAGUGUAUUUGCAACAACAUAAUUGAAUACACUUUGGGAUGUGAGAGGAAACUGAAGCACCCAACGAUUACAAGGACAAUGCAAACUCACAGAAAACAGCACAGGAAAAGACACGCAAAGUCUGGUUGGCAGGCCUGACUGCAGCUAAGAAGAUUGUAGUCCAGCAUUCAAACCUCCCCAUGAUAUUUCAAAUACUCACUGGCUUCGGAGAUUUUUGGACAUUUCUUACCUGGAACUUUCAUCAGCAAGAGUAAAUGAUGCACAACCAAACACAAUCUUAAUGUGGACAAAUCUGAUAUCUAACUUAAAAGAACUUUUGUUAAAAUAGGAAUGCUUUGUCUGUGUAUGCACUACUAUUCAGUUGGU